rnacentral:misc_RNA from 1 species
GUGAAUCAUCGAAUCUUUGAACGCAAAUUGCACUCUCCGGUUUUCCGGGAGAGUAUGCCUGUUUGAGGGUCAGCCUAAAAAAAAUCGACAUUGUUGCUGUUAUUUAAUGGUGACUUUCGUCGGAGAUUGGGUUACCUUAAACCUUUUUUUUUUUUUUUGGUUUAAGCGAUUAAAAAUUUUUUUUCACGUUUCCAUGAAGGUUUCUAAGAUUUUUUUUUUUUAUACGUUUAAGUUUUAUCGAUUUUUUUUUAGAGGUGACGUUCUUUG